rnacentral:rRNA from 1 species
CCUACGGGUGGCAGCAGUGAGGAAUAUUGGUCAAUGGACGCAAGUCUGAACCAGCCAUGCCGCGUGCAGGAAGACGGUUCUAUGAGUUGUAAACUGCUUUUGUACGAGGGUAAACGCAGAUACGCGUAUCUGUCUGCAAGUACCGUACGAAUAAGGAUCGGCUAAAUCCGUGCCAGCAGCCGCGGUAAUACGGAGGAUUCGAGCGUUAUCCGGAUUUAUUGGGUUUAAAGGGUGCGUAGGCGGUCUGAUAAGUUAGCGGUGAAAUCCCGGGGCUCAACUUCGGACGUGCAUUUGAUACUGGUCGGCUAGAGAGUAGUUGCGGUAGGCGGAAUGUAUGGUGUAGCGGUGAAAUGCUUAGAGAUCAUACAGAACACCGAUUGCGAAGGCAGCUUACCGGGCUACAUCUGACGUUGAGGCACGAAAGCGUGGGGAGCAAACAGGAUUAGAUACCCCAGUAGUC